rnacentral:rRNA from 1 species
GAUUAUGGCUCAGGAUGAACGCUGGCGGCGUGCUUAACACAUGCAAGUCGAACGGAGACUGCUUACGAAGCUGAAGUAGCUUGCUAUGGAGGUGGAGUGAGUAUUCUUAGUGGCGGACGGGUGAGUAACGCGUGGGUAACCUACCUCAUACAGGGGAAUAGCAGUUGGAAACGACUGAUAAAACCGCAUAAAACGGCAGCAGGGCAUCCUGCAACCGUCAAAUAUUUAUAGGUAUGAGAUGGGCCCGCGUCUGAUUAGGCAGUUGGUGAGGUAACGGCCCACCAAACCUACGAUCAGUAGCCGGCCUGAGAGGGUGAACGGCCACAUUGGGACUGAGACACGGCCCAAACUCCUACGGGAGGCAGCAGUGGGGAAUAUUGGACAAUGGGGGAAACCCUGAUCCAGCGAACCGCCGCGUGAGUGAAGAAGUAUUUCGGUAUGUAAAGCUCUAUCAGCAGGGAAGAUGAUGACGGUACCUGACUAAGAAGCCCCGGCUAACUACGUGCCAGCCGCUGC